CAGCAGCCGCGGUAAUACGUAGGUCCCGAGCGUUGUCCGGAUUUAUUGGGCGUAAAGGGAGCGCAGGCGGUUUAGUAAGUCUGAAGUUAAAGGCAUUGGCUCAACCAAUGUAUGCUUUGGAAACUGUUAGACUUGAGUGCAGAAGGGGAGAGUGGAAUUCCAUGUGUAGCGGUGAAAUGCGUAGAUAUAUGGAGGAGCACCGGUGGCGAAAGCGGCUCUCUGGUCUGUCACUGACGCUGAGGCUCGAAAGCGUGGGUAGCGAACAGGAUUAGAUACCCCCGUAGUCCCUGUCUCUUAUACC
rnacentral:rRNA from 1 species